ACGUGACCUUACAACUUUGAUACGCGCUCCGAUACAUUGUGCCGAAGCAGAUUGCUUCGCGGAAGUGAUACGAGCUUUGGUGCCUCGGUGUCAGACUUCCCAUCCCUACUAUGUUCCCGAACGUAGCCUAUAGGCC